rnacentral:misc_RNA from 1 species
ACGUAUCUCCGAGUCCGGCGGUCGGCGUCGCCCGCUCCGGCCCACGGCCGUUGCAGCGGGCAGCUGUGCCCCGGCUCGAAACCACAAACCCACGUGCUCCUUUGCGGCCCACGGGCGUCGUCGGCGAGAGCCGCGUGCCCGAAAGCCACAUUCAAAUAGACCCCAGUUUAAAAGAAUGCAAAGCGGACUCCGAUCCGCCCACAAACUUGAA